CACCAGCGCCACGAGUGGCUAUCGCGAUUAUUGGGCCUAAAGCGUCCGUAGUCGGGCUUGUACAUCUUCUGUGAAAUCGCAGCGCUUAACGUUGCGGCAUGCGGAAGACACGGCAAGCCUUGAGACCGGGAGGCAUGAAGGGUACUCUUAGGGGACCGGUAAAAUGGUAUAAUCCUAAGAAGACCACCUGUGGCGAAGGCGCUUCACGAGAACGGAUCUGACGAUGAGGGACGAAAGCCAGGGGAGCAAACCGG
rnacentral:rRNA from 1 species